rfam:Clostridium sp. CAG:533 genomic scaffold, scf4
GAGAAAGCCUUAUCUGCGAUAGACAUAACAAUUGUUAGGGAGAAAGAACACUCCUAAAGAUAAGUGGGAUAUAUAAUACUGAUAAUAUUAUA